AGAACGAACGCUGGCGGCGUGGAUAAGACAUGCAAGUCGAACGGGUUUAAUUUCGGAGCAAUUCGGAAUUAGGCCAGUGGCGAACGGGUGCGUAACACGUGAGUCAUCUGCCUGAAAGUGGGGGAUAGCUCGUCGAAAGGCGAAUUAAUACCGAAUAUGACUGCGGCUGACAUCAGCCACGGUGGAAAGUUUUUCGGCUAGGGAUGGACUCGCGGCCUAUCAGCUAGUUGGUGAGGUAACGGCCCACCAAGGCGACGACGGGUA
rnacentral:rRNA from 1 species